AUUCGCGGCCUAUCAGCUUGUUGGUAAGGUAAUGGCUUACCAAGGCUAUGACGGGUAGGGGACGUGAGAGCGUGACCCCCAACAGAGGCACUGAGACACGGGCCUCACUCCUACGGGAGGCAGCAGUCGAGAAUCUUCCACAAUGGGCGAAAGCCUGAUGGAGCGACACCGCGUGACCGAAGAAGCCCCUCGGGGUGUAAAGGUCUUUUAUUUGGGAACAAUUUUUGAGCGUACCUUAUGAAUAAGGGGCCGCCAAACUCGUGCCAGCAGCGGCGGUAAUACGAGUGCCCCAAGCGUUAUCCGGAAUUAUUGGGCGUAAAGCGUCUGUAGAGGGUUUGAUGUGUCUUUUGUUAAAUUCCAAUGCUUACCAUUGGCAAUGCAGGGGAAACUAUCAGACUAGAGGAUAUGAGAGGCUGAUGGAACUCAGAGAGUAGGGAUGAAAUCCGUUGAUACUCUGGGGAACACCAAAGGCGAAGGCAUUCAGCUGGUGUAUUCCUGACCUUGAGAGACGAAAGCGUGGGUAGCGAACGGGAUUAGAUACCCCGGUAGUCCACGCUGUAAACGAUGGGUACUAGUUGUUUGAAGUAUCGACCCUUCAAGUGACGAAGCUAACGCGUUAAGUACCCCGCCUGGGGAGUACGGAAUCGUCGACAGCAGCCA
rnacentral:rRNA from 1 species